CAAAGAAGCAGCGAGACGGUAACGUUAAGCGAAUCUCAAAAAAGACAUUCUCAGUUCGGAUUGUGGGCUGAAACCCGCCCACAUGAAGUCGGAGUUGCUAGUAAUCCCGAAUCAGAAUGUCGGGGUGAAUGCGUUCCCGGGUCUUGUACACACCGCCCGUCACGCCAUAGGAGUUGGGGGUAUCCGAAGUCGGCGAGCUAACCGCAAGGGGGCAGCCGCCUAAAGGUAAAACCAAUGACUGGGGUGAAGUCGUAACAAGGUACC
rnacentral:rRNA from 1 species